rnacentral:rRNA from 1 species
UACGUAGGGGGCUAGCGUUGUCCGGAAUCAUUGGGCGUAAAGGGUGCGUAGGCGGCGCGGUAAGUCGGGUGUGAAAUCUCGGGGCUUAACUUCGAAACUGCAUUCGAUACUGCCGUGCUUGAGGACUGGAGAGGAGACUGGAAUUUACGGUGUAGCGGUGAAAUGCGUAGAUAUCGUAAGGAAGACCAGUGGCGAAGGCGGGUCUCUGGACAGUUCCUGACGCUGAGGCACGAAGGUCAGGGGAGCAAACGGG